rnacentral:tRNA from 1 species
UCGCGGAACAGGCUCGGUUCGAUCAGCGGGCUGCGGCCCCGCCGGGCGCGGUGACGCUGGUGCCACCCCAGGACCGCGAG